UAAAUACCAGUUCUCGCCUCACAUGAUCACUGAAGUUAAGCAAGUUGCGCCUAGUCAGUACCUAGAUGGGUGACUGCUUUGGAAUACCAGGUGCUGUAAG